GACGAACGCUGGCGGCGUGCUUAACACAUGCAAGUCGAACGGAAAGGCCCCCUUGUGGGGUACUCGAGUGGCGAACGGGUGAGUAACACGUGAGUAACCUACCCUUGACUUUGGGAUAACUUCAGGAAACUGGGGCUAAUACCGGAUAGGAGCUCCUGCUGCAUGGUGGGGGUUGGAAAGUUUCGGCGGCUGGGGAUGGACUCGCGGCUUAUCAGCUUGUUGGUGGGGUAGUGGCUCACCAAGGCUUUGACGGGUAGCCGGCCUGAGAGGGUGACCGGCCACAUUGGGACUGAGAUACGGCCCAGACUCCUACGGGAGGCAGCAGUGGGGAAUAUUGCACAAUGGGCGGAAGCCUGAUGCAGCAACGCCGCGUGCGGGAUGACGGCCUUCGGGUUGUAAACCGCUUUCGCCUGUGACGAAGCGUGAGUGACGGUAAUGGGUAAAGAAGCACCGGCUAACUACGUG
rnacentral:rRNA from 1 species